GCCCUUCCACUCUCAACCUGAAGAAAUCAAAACUCAAACUCGUCUCUUAGCAAUAUCAGCAAGGCCAGCAUGUCAUCUCAGCUUCUUGAACUUCAGUGAACUUAACUAGCAAACAUGACAAACGUCAUUGAAGUGAAUGUCGAUGACAACCCCCUUCUUGCACAAAUACUACAAUUGCUUAAGAAAUUCAGCACGAAGACGUCUUGCGUCAGACUACCAAGCCUCCUAUCAAUAUCUUCUCCCAUGUUGGCUACAUCAACACUUCCAACAGCAGAGCCUUGGUGAGUUAGACUUCCGUCUCAGCAUCGAUGUCGCUUAGCAACAAUUGGAUGAUGGGCGUCGACAAAUUAUGCCGUACAAGUCGCUCGAACUGAAACGAUCUGAUCCAACAGGUAGAGCGUCCAUUAAUGUGACUACUCGAUAUGUUGUUCUCGAAUAAUGUGAACCUUAGGCCUGGAGAGCAGUAUGCGAUUGACGCCAUUCAACAACAGUUGUUGUCGGCAAUUCUCGGGUUUGAGGUGGCGACUUCAGCGUCGGGACUCGCUCCAUCUCUGUCUGGCCCAGUCACAGCAGCAGCAGCAACAAGAACAAUAAGUAGUAUCUUAGUGGUGUUCUGGGAUAUGGGGCUUCAUGUAUGUGCUUAAAUUGUCAUCCCAGAUUAGCCUGUGCAGACUGCACCUACAUUAAGUCCUAUUAAAUUGUCGUCCCAGAUUAGCGUAUGCAGACUGCACAUACAUAAAGUCCUAUUAAAUUGUCAUCCCAGAUUAGCCUGUGCAAACUGCACAAACAUUACGUCCUAUUAAAGUGUCAUCCCAGAUUAGCCUGUGCAGACUGCACAUACAUUAAGUCCUAUUAAAGUGUCAUCCCAGAUAAGCCUGUGCAGACUGCACAUUAAGUCCUAUUAAAGUGUCAUCACAGAUUAGCCUGUGCAGACUGCACAUACAUUAAGUCCUAUUAAAUUGUCGUCCCAGAUUAGCGUAUGCAGACUGCACAUACAUAAAGUCCUAUUAAAUUGUCAUCCCAGAUUAGCCUGUGCAGACUGCACAAACAUUACGUCCUAUUAAAGUGUCAUCCCAGAUUAGCCUGUGCAGACUGCACAUACAUUAAGUCCUAUUCAAGUGUCAUCUCAGAUUAGCCUGUGCAGACUGCACAAACAUUAAGUCCUAUUAAAGUGUCAUCCCAGAUUAGCCUGUGCAGACUGCACAUACAUUAAGCCCUAUUUUCCCAGAUUGAGUCUCAUAUACUACACUUUACAUCAGUAUUUUAUGUGCCUGAAAAGUUCCUAGCAUCAAAUGGGAAUUAUGUGCUUUUAAAUUGAUCACACUAAGUAAAUAAAAUGCAAAUAGCACUUGAUCUGAUAUCAAUUUUAAUCAUAGAAGGUCAGGGCAUGAAGUUUUGUAUAUUUUCGACCGAAAUUCAGCCCCUGAACCAAAAGUUUAUCCUUGCAGAAAAAUCUGCUUUAAUAGAAUUGUAAAAUUAUAUUUAAUGUAGUAAAAUAAUUAUGUAAAAGCCUUCAGCUCAUUUCAAUAUUAUUUUCUUUAUUUAUUUUCAAUAUUGAUUAAAAUUACUGGAUAUUGUUUUAAGAGCCUGUUCCUACAGGAACCCAUGCACUCAUAGAUCGGUACCUAGCUGAACAACAGGCUGUCUGGUCAGCUGGGCCCAGACGCCCAGUGACACUUCCUGGCCCAGGACCUUUGGGCAAAUGCUCAACUAGUCCUACCCACAGGGUGGAGCCACACUGAUCCUGGGGCUCCAUACUUUCUUGGCCAGGGGCCAAGAUAACCUCGCCAAUAAGGGACACAUUCCUGGGAUGCCCUAAGGUCUUUCUAUCUGUUCACAGAGGUCUUAUACUCACAAGUUCAAGCCCAUUGAGCGAUGUUCACAUUAUCAAACUCUGCAUCUCAAUAGGUUGUUUUCAUCCGAUCUUCACCAAACUUUGUCAGAAGUCGUAUCUAGAUGGUGUCAUGGUCAAGUGUGAAUAUGGGUCAUGCAGGAUCAAAACCUAGGGCAUGAAACCCGGAUAGCAAAGCGUUGGUUUGUUUUUGAAACAUUUGAACCAGCAACAGUCAUCAUUGGAGUUUCUGACAUGUCUAUGGUGUGGAACCCUCAGUCUAUGAACAUAAUAACAGCACAUGAACCAGCAGCAGUCAUCAUCUCAAGAUUCUGGUAUAUCCAUGGUACAGGACCCUUAGUCUGUACAGAUCUUGCAGAACAAACUUCAGAUGCAAUUUGAGAAAAUCAAACCAUCCAAUCGGAAACACAGCCUGUUGCAGCAAUUGUUAACAUAUUGAUCCCAGUCAAACCUAAGAAGCUCAGAGUUACAUACUGUUUAACAUGUGCUAGUCUUCAUAUACCUCCUGGUUUGUUCAGCACUUACUCUUUGAAUGUUAUGACGGGUGAAAAUGAAUGACCUUGUUCAGAUCGAAAUUGCAGAAUGACACAUCACAACAAUUCAAGUGGAAAGCCACAAAGCCAUGUCAACAGCCACAUGUUGUAUGUUGCCAGCCAAGCUGUAUUAAAAAACACAAAAGCUUACGUUUUAUGUUAUAUGUGACCAACCAAGUUAUAUUCAUACAAAAACAAUAGUUUAUGCUUUAUGGGAAUUGUUAUGCUGUCAGUCUUUAUGUUGAAAUAUUGUGUUCAAUAUAGCAUGUUAAGUAUUUUAAAAGCACGCAUAUUGCUCGUAUAUGCAAUCUCUUUGUCUAUAUUAUGAUAUCACUACAUAUUGUGAUCCCGAUAAUGGUAAACUAAUGGGAAAUAUGCUUUAAUCAAAGACUUUCAAAGUGUGACAAAGCUGUCUAAAUGAGGUUGGUAACUUGGACAACAUUAAUAAAAUAUUGGAGUAUUUUCAUGUUAUAAAACAUGUUUCAGUUUUCUGUUUUUUUACCCGUAUUAUAGAUAAGCUAGAUAAAAGUAGUGUAAAGAAAGGUUUAGAAGUUUUACGCUUCAGCUUUUCUGUUUAUCAAUCUUUCUAAAAAAAAAUACUAAUAAAUUUGCACAUUCGGGUCGGUUUUCGAACAAGAAUCUUGUUUAAUAGCAUUCGUGGAAAUCCAAAUAAAUUAUGUGCACACUUAUGUAAUUUACCUAAAAGUGUCGAUUCUGUAUUUACUACCAGUACUUUGUUGAUUUCAAUGGAUAUUGUUUGUUAAAUAGUCGAGAAUGGCUCUUGCAUUUUUGGGAAAACUUUAAGGAAAACCUGAAAAUUAAAAAAAAAA